GCAUAUUGUGAGUCGAUUAAGCCAUGCGAGUCGAGAGUCUUAGGGACUCGGCGUACCGCUCAGUAACACGUGGGUAACCUGCCCUAUGCUGGGGAAUAACCUCGGGAAACUGAGAAUAAUGCCCCAUAGUCCACAAUGCCUGGAACGGUUUGUGGAUCAAAGCUCCGGCGGCAUAGGAUGGGCCUGCGGCGUAUCAGGUUGUAGGGGGUGUAACGUACCCUCUAGCCAUCAACGCGUACGGGUGUUGGGAGACAUAGCCCGGAGAUGGAUUCUGAGACACGAAUCCAGACCCUACGGGGUGCAGCAGGCGCGAAAACUUGGCAAUGCGAGAAAUCGUGACCAGGGAACUCCAAGUGGCUGGGGUAAGACCCAGUCUUUUCUUGACUCUUCAAAGGUCUUGGAAUAAGGGGUGGGUAAGGACGGUGCCAGCCGCCGCGGUAAUACCGGCGCCUCAAGUGGUAGUCGAUUUUAUUGGGCCUAAAACGUCCGUAGCCUGUUUGGUACAUUCGUGGGUAAAUCAACCAGCUCAACUGGUUGAAUUCUGCGAGCACGGCCAGACUUGGGACCGGGAGAGGUGUGGGGUACGCUCAGGGUAGGGGUAAAAUCCUGUCAUCCUGAGCGGACCACCUGUUGCGAAGGCGCCACACUAGAACGGAUCCGACGGUCAGGGACGAAGCCUAGGGGCACGAACCGGAUUAGAUACCCGGGUAGUCCUAGGUGUAAACGCUGUGGACUUGGUGUUGGGGACUCUCCGAGAUUCCUCAGUGCCGAAGCGAAGGUGAUAAGUCCACUGCCUGGGGAGUACGGUCGCAAGGCUGAAACUUAAAGGAAUUGGCGGGGGAGCACCGC
rnacentral:rRNA from 1 species